CAUACCCCGAAAAUGAUGGUUUGAUUCCUUCCCUUACUA
rnacentral:tRNA from 1 species